rnacentral:rRNA from 1 species
UACGUAGGGGGCAAGCGUUGUCCGGAAUCAUUGGGCGUCAAGCGCGUGUAGGCGGCCUUGUAAGUCCGUUCUGAAAGCCCGGGGCUCAACCCCGGGAGGCGGAUGGAUACUGCAGGGCUCGAGUACGGAAGAGGCGAGUGGAAUUCCCGGUGUAGCGGUGAAAUGCGCAGAUAUCGGGAGGAACACCAAUGGCGAAGGCAGCUCGCUGGGACGUUACUGACGCUGAGACGCGAAAGCGUGGGGAGCAAACAGG